rnacentral:misc_RNA from 1 species
GAUGAAGAACGUAGCGAAAUGCGAUAAGUAGUGUGAAUUGCAGAAUUCAGUGAAUCAUCGAAUCUUUGAACGCACAUUGCGCCCCUUGGUAUUCCAUGGGGCAUGCCUGUUCGAGCGUCGUUUGUACCUUCAAGCUCUGCUUGGUGUUGGGUGUUUGUCUCGCCUCUGCGUGUAGACUCGCCUCAAAACAAUUGGCAGCCGGCGUAUUGAUUUCGGAGCGCAGUACAUCUCGCGCUUUGCACUCAUAACGACGACGUCCAAAAGUACAUUUUUACACUCUUGACCUCGGAUCAGGUAGGGAUACCCGCUGAACUUAAGCAUAUCAAUAAGCGGAGGA